rnacentral:rRNA from 1 species
UACGUAGGGUGCAAGCGUUAAUCGGAAUUACUGGGCGUAAAGCGUGCGCAGGCGGUUUUGUAAGCCAGAUGUGAAAUCCCCGGGCUUAACCUGGGAAUGGCAUUUGGGACUGCAAGGCUGGAGUGCGGCAGAGGAGACUGGAAUUCCUGGUGUAGCGGUGAAAUGCGCAGAUAUCAGGAGGAACACCGAUGGCGAAGGCAGGUCUCUGGGACGGUACUGACGCUGAGGUGCGAAAGCGUGGGGAGCAAACAGG